UCUCUUUUUUAGGUUUUUUUUUUUUGGGGGGGGGGGGGGGCUUUGGGUUUUCGUGUUUGUUCAUUUUGUUCUUUCUCUCUCGUGUCCGACAUUGACGGACCGGAUCGUGUGGACGUCAAAAGUUUUGGGUUUUUUUUUUUCAGAAGGAGCUGGGCAAAAAAGGUUCGAUAGGAGCCGGCCAGACAAAACCGGACAAAUGAAUCACAUUCCUUGCUCGCAUUUCGACCCGAUCGGCAUUUGUUUUCUUUUUCAACCUCCUCAACUCCCUAACGGUUUCCACGGAUGCGAUUGAUGGAUGGGCCGGCUAAAGGGGAACGGACGGACGGACACAAGCGGCGCCGCAGCACCAAACUAUUUGGUAACUGCAUAGUUUUGAAUAAAUCAUAAAAAUACAGUCGGAGCAAAACGCGACGGACGGGAAAUCUACACAAGGAAAAAACAUUUCCCGAAAUGUUUUCAACAACUCAAUCGAUGCAACAAGGAAAAUCACAAAAAUUUGCUGGAAAUGGACGGACUUUAGACUUUAGGAGGGGGAGCCGGACUGGCAUCAAACGUUUCGAUGUAGUCCAAAAAAACCGGAAAAAAGAAUUUGAUAAACUAGUCGAACGUCAUCCCGUUUCAAAGGUCACAUUAUCUCUGGUUACCACCUCCCCUCGGCUAAUGAGUGAGUCAUCCACAGUCGUGAGGAGGAGGGGAAAUCCGAAAUUAAAAAUAAAAAUACAAACACGCCCUUUACAUUCAUCGUAGCUCUAGCAGACGAAAUUAAUCAAAUAUGCAAGGCCCAUCCAACCAUGUGUGACGUUCGGCCCAAUUGGCCAUUCGAAUUCCCCAAAUUGGGUUUUAAAAAAAAGACCAAAAAAUUGUGACAACAAUUUUGUUAGCCAAAAAACCCAAACCAGUUUCUGGUUAACAACGACAACUUGCGUCUAUACCACCACCAGUUAACCAAAAGUCAAUCGAAAUUCAAAAAUGUGGGUCCCCACAGAUAUACUCACACGUCAAUUUGCCCGGUUGAAACAACAGAAAAA